CAAAUCAGCAUCAUAAGCUGAUCCCGAACUCAAAAAGCUAAUAUCGAGCCUGAAGCAUCAGCCCAAAAAGGAAAAGAAAAGAUCGUCGAGGAUUAAAUCCGAAGAGAAUUCUGGUUGUAGAAGUCAAGUAUUGAACCAGCAUCAAAAGGCAGACCCAAUUUCAGCAAACUUUUGGUGAUGUAUAUUUUCUUUUGGUAAUGUGGCAUAUACAUAGGAUGUGUAUAAAGGUUGUUAUGUUUUGAAUAUAAAUGA